GGAAUAGCUCAGUGGUAGAGCACAUGCUUAGCAUGCAUGAGGUCCCAGGUUCAAUCCCCAGAAACUCCA
rnacentral:tRNA from 1 species